rfam:Chlorocebus sabaeus isolate 1994-021 chromosome 20, whole genome shotgun sequence.
GGCUUUCUUAAAAGCCACCAUACAAUAUAAGAAAAAAGUA